rnacentral:rRNA from 1 species
UACGUAGGGUGCGAGCGUUGUCCGGAAUUAUUGGGCGUAAAGAGCUUGUAGGCGGUUUGUCGCGUCUGCUGUGAAAAUUCGGGGCUCAACCCCGGACUUGCAGUGGGUACGGGCAGACUAGAGUGUGGUAGGGGAGACUGGAAUUCCUGGUGUAGCGGUGAAAUGCGCAGAUAUCAGGAGGAACACCGAUGGCGAAGGCGGGUCUCUGGGCAGUAACUGACGCUGAGGAGCGAAAGCGUGGGUAGCAAACAGG